UAGCGACGGCCUAAAGACGGUAAGUUGAAACAGAAAGUUCUAAACAAAAAACUAGAGAGGGCCUAGCGACGGCCUAGAGACGGCAAGUUGAAACAGGAAGUUAAAAAAAAAUAUUUAGAGACGGCCCAGGGAGGGCCAUUUUGAAAAUUAGAGACGGCUGAGAGACGACAUUAAAAUUUUAGGCACCAAAAAAUUUGCACGGAAAAAAAAUAAGCGACGGAUUAAAGACGGCUAGGUUCUAAUCCUAUCUAAUCUAAAAUUUUAAUUAGCGACGCCGUUUCUAAUCUUUUCCUAAUAAUUAAAGACGGAUAUGAAGACCAUCUCCAAAAAAUCAGCGAGGCGAGUUUCGGAGAAGGAUUAAAGACGACCAAAAACCGUCGUCAAUCAUCAAUUAGCGACGGUUUUUGAUGAUUAGAGACGGUUUUUGAUGAUUAGAGACGGUUUUUGAUGAUUAGAGACGGUUUCUGACCGUCGCUGAAAGUCAGUAAUUUGGUAGUGUCUAUUGACUCUUUAUCUAUCUAUCUAUCUAUCUAUCUCUUUGUUGGUAUUUUUAUUUUGGUAUGUUUGAUUUUUGUUUAUUUAUGUAUGGAAAUAUUUAUGGUGUUGGAAUGUAUGGAAAUUUGAUUUUGAUUUAUGGUGCUGGAAGCAUACUAUGGUAUGAAUAAAUGAUACGACAAUAAAUUUCUAUGUUUGAAUCUUUUUUUUUGGUUUUUUUAUUUUGGUUUUGUUAUUUUGUGGGUAUGUUUGAUUGUUUUUGGGUAUGUAUGUCUAUGUAUCUAUGUUUGAUUGUAUUUGGGAUUUUAAUUUUGAGAUAACAUUAAUUCAAGUAUCAACUAUCUAUGUUUGUUUGUUAUUGUAAUCUACUGUUUUGAUGAUUGGGUUUAUCUUUGUUUAUUUGUUAUCUAAACUAUCAACUAUCUUUAUCCAAG
rnacentral:lncRNA from 1 species